rnacentral:rRNA from 1 species
AGAACGAACGCUGGCGGCAGGCUUAACACAUGCAAGUCGAACGGUUGUAGCAAUACAGCAGUGGCAGACGGGUGAGUAACACGUGGGAACCUUCCUAGGGGUACGGAACAACGCAGGGAAACUUGCGCUAAUACCGUAUACGUCCGUGAGGAGAAAGAUUUAUCGCCCUUAGACGGGCCCGCGUCGGAUUAGGUAGUUGGUGGGGUAACGGCCUACCAAGCCUACGAUCCGUAGCUGAUCUUAGAGGAUGAUCAGCCACACUGGGACUGAGACACGGCCCAGACUCCUACGGGAGGCAGCAGUGGGGAAUCUUGGACAAUGGGCGCAAGCCUGAUCCAGCCAUGCCGCGUGAGUGAAGAAGGUCUUCGGAUUGUAAAGCUCUUUUGCCAGGGACGAUAAUGACGGUACCUGGAGAAUAAGCCCCGGCAAACUUCGUGCCAGCAGCCGC